rnacentral:rRNA from 1 species
UACAGAGGUCUCAAGCGUUUGUUCGGAUUCAUUGGGCGUAAAGGGUGCGUAGGCGGCGCGGUAAGUCGGGUGUGAAAUCUCGGAGCUUAACUCCGAAACUGCAUUCGAUACUGCCGUGCUUGAGGACUGGAGAGGAGACUGGAAUUCCCGGUGUAGCGGUGAAAUGCGCAGAUAUCGGGAAGAACACCCGUGGCGAAGGCGGCUCUCUGGGACGGUACUGGACGCUGAGACGGCG